UUACAUUAGAUCUGUGUGUGUUUAUAACACACCAAAAAAAUUGUUCAUGAUGACAAAUAAAAAAAAUAUAUAGUAAUACUUGUUACAUUUUGUCAUUGGCUUUUAUUGUAUAAGCUGAAGCUUGUGAGCUGGCAGACAACUUGGGGAAGAUGGCAGUAGCUUACAUUCCAGAUGACAUUCAACUCAUGGAGUUAGCCAACAAGGAUGUUGCACUGGGGAGACUUGCUUUUUUCAAAGACCUUCUAAAUGAAGCCAAAACCCAGCCAAAACAGCCUUUGACUUAGUUACUCAUGACCUUGGCCUAAAAUUAUUCGAUGUUUUCUUUUCAGUCUUGGGAAAGGUGGCAGACUCGGAGAUCAGAAAGUAUAGUGCUGCAGAAUAAGACUUAGUCCAAACCAAGUCUGAAACAAGAUUAAAACAAAGCUGAAGUUCGUUUUGGUUUUACUUGGCAGUUUAUUGCAAUAAUUUACAUCCAGUUAUCACCUAUGUGGUCUCCCUACUGGUUUGUAGAAUAUUGUAAUUUCAGUGAGUUGCUUUUCCAGAUGUUGUGCUGAAUUCUACCUCACUGACAGAAUCAAACUGAAGUGAAGGUGCAUCACACAGCAGAAUGAGUGUAUCUGAUUCAAAUUUUUUCUGUUUAUAAAUGAGGUUUAAUUUACAGUUACAGUAGAUACAGAAUCACUAGCAUAAUAUGUUGUAUCGAUACAACUGCGCUAUGAAGGGGAGUUGGAUUUCAGCACUGCAUCUUUUUCUUAUUCUAUUGUUUAAUGGGUGAAAAUAAUUGGUCUGAAAAUCAGAAAACCAUUUAGAAACGGGUUUUCACACUGCCUUUGAAGAAGACCAUGGUUCAGCACAAUCAGACCUUGACCACUUUUUUUUCGGUUGGACCAAAUAAUGGUCCUAUUUUCUAAACCAUGGUUGAAGGCACCGUUCACACCUGCUAUUUGGUUCAGACCAAACAAGUUAAUGAUUUAGUUAUACUCCAUCCUGUUGUUGAAUUUUGUUACUAGAUUCUAAUAGGCUAAACAGUUAAAAUACGUUUGGACAUUUGGACAUAAAGAUUCAUUUGUGUUUUUCAGAAAGUGAUAUUUUUAUUUUUAGUGCACACUUAAUUUCAGUUUACAUACUAUAAUUGCAUGUAUAAGAAUACAAUUUCGAAUCUUUCCAGUUCUGUAGAAAUUCACACUGUACAUCAUUAUACCAAUUAAUAAAAAAAUAAUUUUACUUGCA
rnacentral:lncRNA from 1 species